UGGGGCUUUGUGGGGUCUGGGGUCUCUAUGGGGUCUCUAUGGGGCUCUAUGGGGUCUCUAUGGGUCUUUAUGGGGUCUCUGUGAGGUCGUUAUGGGGGAUGGGGGCUCUGUGGGGUCCCUAUGGGUCCCUAUGGGGUCUAUGGGGUCCCUAUGUGUCUCUAUGGGUCCCCGUGGGUUCUGUGGGUCGCGGCGGGUCCCUGUGGGUCUCUAUGGGUCUCUAUGCAUCCCUAUGGGUCCCUACGUGUCCCCGUGGGUUCGGUGGGUCCCUAUGGGUCCAUAUGGGGUUUAUGGGUCCCUAUGGGUCUCUAUGGGGUCUAUGGGUCUCUAUGGGUCCCUAUGGGGUCUAUGGGUCUCUAUGGGUCCCUACGGGUCCCCUUUGGUUGGUUGUGGGGCGUGCGUGGGUCUGUGGGUCUCUAUGGGGUCCCCAUGAGUCUCUAUGGGUCCGUAUCAGUCCCUAUGGGUCCCUAUGGGUCUCUGUGGGUUCUUAUGGGUCCCUAUGAGUCUCUAUGGGGUCUGUGGGUCCCUAUGGGGUCUAUGGGUCCCUAUGGGUCUCUAUGGGUUCCUAUGAGUCCCUAUGGGUCCCUAUGGGUCUCUAUGGGGUCUAUGGGGUCUCUAUGUGUCUCUAUGGGUCCCUAUGGGGUCUAUGGGUCCCUAUGGGUCUCUAUGGGGUCUAUGGGGUCUCUAUGUGUCUCUAUGGGUCUCUAUGGGUUCUAUGGGUCUCUAUGGGGUCUAUGGGGUCCCUAUGGGUCCCUAUGGGUCCCCGUGGGUUCAGUGGGUCCCUAUGGGUCCCCUUUGGUUGGCUGUGGGGCGUGCGUGGGUCUGUGGGUCUCUAUGGGUCCCUAUGGGUCUCUAUGGGGUCUAUGGGGUCCCUAUGGGAUCUAUGGGGUCUCUAUGUGUCUCUAUGGGUCUCUCUGGCGUCUAUGGGUCCCUAUGGGUCUCUCUGGGUCUCUCUGGGUCCCUAUGGGGUUUAUGGGUCCCUAUGGGUCCCUAUGGGGUCUAUGGGGUCCCUAUGGGUCUCUAUGGGUCUCUAUGGGUUCUAUGGGUCCCUAUGGGUCCCUAUGGGGUUUAUGGGUCCCUACGGGUCCCCUUUGGUUGGCUGUGG
rnacentral:lncRNA from 1 species